CCGAGUUUACAACUCCCAAACCCCUGUGAACAUACCAAUUGUUGCCUCGGCGGAUCAGCCCGCUCCCGGUAAAAUGGGACGGCCCGCCAGAGGACCCCUAAACUCUGUUUCUAUAUGUAACUUCUGAGUAAAACCAUAAAUAAAUCA
rnacentral:misc_RNA from 1 species